rnacentral:pre_miRNA from 1 species
GGGCUUCAGCAUGUUGGCCAGGCUGGUCUCAAACUCCUGACCUCAGGUGAUCUGCCCACUUCAGCAGUGCUGGGAGGUCAGGGUACUGAGAUCACAGGCACCAGCCACUGUUCCCAGCCC